UACGGGGGGUGCGAGCGUUGUUCGGAAUUACUGGGCGUAAAGCGCGCGUAGGCGGGUUGGUAAGUCCGCUGUGAAAGCCCGGAGCUUAACUCCGGAGGGUCGGUGGAUACUGCCAGUCUUGAAGGUGCUAGGGGGAGAUGGAAUUACCGGUGUAGCGGUGAAAUGCGUAGAUAUCGGUAGGAACACCAGUGGCGAAGGCGGUCUCCUGGGGCAUUCUUGACGCUGAGGCGCGAAAGCUAGGGGAGCGAACAGG
rnacentral:rRNA from 1 species